GACGAACGCUGGCGGCGUGCCUAACACAUGCAAGUCGAACGGAGAAUUUUAUUUCGGUAGAAUUCUUAGUGGCGAACGGGUGAGUAACGCGUAGGCAACCUGCCCUUUAGACGGGGACAACAUUCCGAAAGGAGUGCUAAUACCGGAUGUGAUCAUCUUGCUGCAUGGCAGGAUGAAGAAAGAUGGCCUCUACAAGUAAGCUAUCGCUAAAGGAUGGGCCUGGGUCUGAUUAGCUAGUUGGUAGUGUAACGGACUACCAAGGCGAUGAUCAGUAGCCGGUCUGGGAGGAUGAACGGCCACAUUGGGACUGAGACCCGGCCCAACCUCCUACGGGAGGCAGCAGUGGGGAAUCUUCCGCAAUGGACGAAAGUCUGACGGAGCAACGCCGCGUGAGUGAUGAAGGAUUUCGGUCUGUAAAGCUCUGUUGUUUAUGACGAACGUGCAGUGUGUGAACAAUGCAUUGCAAUGACGGUAGUAAACGAGGAAGCCACGGCUAACUACGUGCCAGCAGCCGCCGUAA
rnacentral:rRNA from 1 species